UAGCCCAUACAUAUACAACGUACCCGGAACGUUAUGCUUGCGGGACAUUUCCGGUACUAGUGUUUUGACUGGCAGCAUGACGCUAACACUCAAACUGGAUACGUGAUCUGGACCAUUUGGCCCCAUAUCAAGCACAGCUUUCUUAGCAAAAACAAGAAACACAAAGCAACAGCAUCGUAAGAUGGUGUGCUGGCCAACUAGUUUACUUACAUGGGAAAAACUUUCGCUGAUUUGAAUGUUUGAUCAACAGCCUUUCGAUGUUGUUGGUUCGAUGAACAGCCA